GUCAUAGCUCAAUUGGAUAGAGUGCUGUGUUGAUAACGCAGUGGUUGAGGGUUCGAGUCCCUUUAGGUA
rnacentral:tRNA from 1 species